CCAAUAGCGUAUAUUAAAGUUGUUGCAGUUAAAAAGCUCGUAGUUGAAUUUCGGGAUUGACACAUCGGUCGUGCCUUAAGGGGUAUGAACUGGUGUAGUCAAUUUCUCACCUUCUGGAGAAUCGCGAUGUCCUUAAUUGGGUGCCGCGGGGAACCAGGACCUUUACUUUGAAAAAAUUAGAGUGUUUAAAGCAGGCAUUUUUGCUUGAAUACAUUAGCAUGGAAUAAUAAAAUAGGACGGCAUGGUUCUAUUUUGUUGGUUUCUAGGACCACCGUAAUGAUUAAUAGGGAUAGUUGGGGGCAUUAGUAUUCAAUUGUCAGAGGUGAAAUUCUUGGAUUUAUUGAAGACUAACUACUGCGAAAGCAUUUGCCAAGGAUGUUUUCAUUAAUCAAGAACGAAAGUUAGGGGAUCGAAGACGAUCAGAUACCGUCGUAGUCUUAACCAUAAACUAUGCCGACUAGGAAUCAGACGAUGUUAAUUUUUUAAUGACUCGUUUGGCACCUUAC
rnacentral:rRNA from 1 species